rnacentral:rRNA from 1 species
AGAUUGAACGCUGGCGGCAUGCCUAACACAUGCAAGUCGAACGGGAGUAGCAAUACCCUAGUGGCGGACGGGUGAGGAAUACGUAGGAAUUUGCCCUUAAGUGGGGGAUAACCCGGGGAAACCCGGAUUAAUACCGCAUGACCUCGAAAGAGCAAAGUGGGGGAUCGCAAGACCUCACGCUUUUGGAGAAGCCUACGUCGGAUUAGCUAGUUGGUGAGGUAAUGGCUCACCAAGGCGACGA